UGGGGUGUGGCCAAGCGGUAAGGCGCCUGACUCUGGAUCAGGAGAUCGAAGGUUCGAAUCCUUCCGCCCCAGCCA
rnacentral:tRNA from 2 species